CGAGCCUCUUCGUUACAGACCAAAACAAGUUUCAGCUGAGUAAUGAAAUGUAGUAUGUAUCCUUCACACCUAAUUUUGUUUUCCUGGCAUUUUUCGCCAUAAAAACGGAUACUUAGCAAGUGUGAUGAAAUUAAGCUGUUGCAUGCAGUCUUUUGUGUCAGUGAUAAGAAGAGUGGUCUGAAAAUGCUCUCGGUUUUCUUGCAGCCAGCUAGUGAAAGAUGUGCAGACCAAAUUAGGCUGAUGCAGUCAGUGGUGCUGGUUCUACUGUUCUAGGUUCUAUUGCAGCAGCCUCGGUUGUUACUGUCUGCCUGUUUGACAUUGGCGUCUCACUAAAUUGUUAAGUCAUACUCCAGAUAUUGAAACCCUCAUCACCUCCAAUUCUUUGCUGCCAAUUCUUUGCUGCCAAUCCUUUGUGAGGUUGCGGGGACCAUCACAACAAGUUCAAAUUUAAGCUGAUCUGAAAUUGAUUGAUUUGAGAUUAUUUCUUCACCGCUGUUCUAUAGAAUUGAUCCAUUGGUGAAAUUGAAGAGAGAUUGCUGAAAUUCAAGACUGAUUGAUCAAUAAAUCAUGGUGAUGUAGAUAAAUUACAAGUGCUUUACUGGACUACCUUCUUUUCUGUGGCCCCGUUUCCCUAACUAACCUCUAACCAACACCCGCCGGUGGUCACUCACCCGCUGUGAAAACAGAAGGAUGAAGAGCGGCUCUGGUCGAACGGGGACUUGGAAGGCGCAAGAUCUGAGAAAAACUUCUGGAGGGUCAUGAGUCUAACCAUAAAGCCUAUGACUGAUCGCUUCCUAGCAAAACUGCGCAUACUUUUUUCUUCUUCCUUGCCCAGGUAAUCUCCCUGGGCACAGUCAAUCAAGGCAGAGUCUCCCCCUGGCUUGAUUAGCUGGACUUUGCAAGGACAAAGUUGAAAAGGACUUAUUUUAAGCUCACUGUUUGAAAAAAAAAAAAAAAAAAAAUUGAAAUAAGCCCGAGACUAAAUUAUUUUGUGACGAAUAUCAUUAUUUAUUGAAAUGUCUUAAAACUGUUUAUAUUUCAUUUGUUACGUAUAAAUAUAUGCAUAACUUCCA